AUGGGGAAAUUAAGAGUUGAAGAAGUACCUUACCCAAAGUCACAAAGACAGAGGGUGUCCAAACCAGGACUGGAACUUAGUGCUCAUUGCUGUCACAGCCCUGCUCUCAACAUUGCAUUAAAUUCUAGGCGUUUGAAUCUAAGUUAUCUUUCUGAGGCUCUAUCUCUUGGCAUGGGAACGCUCUGUAUGCAUGUCUUACCCUGGGCAGUAGAAGCGCACUCUUUUUUUGGCUUCCAUUGUUGGGUACCAGGACAUGGAAAACUCAAAUGCCAGGAUGAGAAGUUGGGACUUAUCUUGACGGAAAUAAGGAGCCUUCAGAGAUUAAGACUGCAUAUAUCAAGAUUUUCCUCUGUCUUUAUCAUGAACAGUGGUCCUCUCAAGAAAGCGAUGGAGCUUUGCCACUCUUCACACCCCUAUUUUCACAAACACUGAAUGACUCCCUUUCUCCAGGCAGCCCUCGUAUUCCACCGUGUCUGUCCCUUUGUCUGUAUUGUUCCCUUACAUGUUCACCCACCACCUACACCAGGGGCUUUCGAGGUCCUCCUGUAUUAUCUCCCCAUAAGCCUACCCCUGCAUCCCUGAGAAAAACUCACUUCUCUCCUGUGCUACCACAAAGAAGAGAAAGUGCUUGGGGUAGGUAGGAAGAAAACAAACCUUCCUCCAUACCCAUUACAUGCUGGGCACUGUGCCAGGGGCUUGCAUUUAGUGUACUGUCAUUUUUCCAACCACCUUGCAAAUAGAAAUUAUCCUCACAUGUGAUAUGAGACUCUGAGAUGAUGCCAUGUGUCCAGGGUCAUUGAGCCAAACUUACCAGUAGGUUUCAAGAUUAAAACAUGGUUCCAUUUGACUCCGGAACUCAUGUUCCUUUAAUGUAAAGAAUACACAUAUCACAUUACAUCUACAGAUAGAAUUCAUUCCAUCAUAACCUCACAAGGGGAAUACUCUAUUAUCUCUCUUACUCAGACAUGAGAAUUUGAAUCUGAGAGUUAUUUUAUCCAAACCUAUCCAAGGUAGUAGACUCCACAGCUAGUAGUUGUUCUUGUUCAGUCAGUAAGUCGUGUCCGACUCUGCAACCCCAUGGACCGCAGCGUGUCAGGCCUUCCUAUCCCCCACCAUCUCCCAGAGUUCACCCAAGUUCAUAUCUAUUGAAUAGGUGACACUAUCCAACUGUCUCAUCCUUUGCAGCCCUCUUUUCCUUUUGCCUUCAAUCUUUC
rnacentral:lncRNA from 1 species